ACUAACCAGAGCCGGCUGAGCUCAGGAUGAUGCUAAUGCUAGUGACCUUUGACCUGCCUGCUGCCUGCAGCCAGCAGAGAUGUGUGUGACCUGUAGGUGUGUGUAGGUGUGAGUGUGUGACCUGUAGGUGUGUGUUAGCGCUGACGAAGAAUUAAACUGAACCUGAUUUCCACUUUCUGCCUCUUUCCUCAUGAUACCA